AGCCUAAACUUGUGCUUUCGGGCACAGGCAUGGCGCAAUAAAACCUGUACACCAAAAACGGUCUCAUGAUCGGUACUUGGUGUACAGGUCGAUACUCGAAAGGGUGUUGGGUGCUCGCAAGGGUGCC
rnacentral:sRNA from 1 species